GGCCAGACUCCUACGGGAGGCAGCAGUGAGGAAUAUUGGUCAAUGGGCGGGAGCCUGAACCAGCCAAGUCGCGUGAGGGAAGACGGUCCUACGGAUUGUAAACCUCUUUUGCCGGGGAGCAACGGGGUCCUUGCGAGGGCCCGAUGAGAGUACCCGGAGAAAAAGCAUCGGCUAACUCCGUGCCAGCAGCCGCGGUAAUACGGAGGAUGCGAGCGUUAUCCGGAUUUAUUGGGUUUAAAGGGUGCGCAGGCGGAGCCACAAGUCAGCGUUAAAUUCGCGGGCCUCAACCCCGCUCCGCCGUUGAAACUGUGUCCCUUGAGUGCGCGAAGGGUAGGCGGAAUGCGUGGUGUAGCGGUGAAAUGCAUAGAUAUCACGCAGAACUCCGAUUGCGAAGGCAGCUUACUAAACUAUAACUGACACUGAAGCACGAAAGCGUGGGGAUCAAACAGGAUUAGAUACCCGGGUA
rnacentral:rRNA from 1 species